UGGUAAUGCCGGAUGUUCCACAUGAUCGCAUGUGAUUGUGGGAAAGAUUCUAUCGGCGUGGGAUGGGGUCGCGUCCUAUCAGCUUGUUGGUGAGGUAACGGCUCACCAAGGCUUCGACGGGUAGCCGGCCUGAGAGGGCGACCGGCCACAUUGGGACUGAGAUACGGCCCAGACUCCUACGGGAGGCAGCAGUGGGGAAUAUUGCACAAUGGGCGCAAGCCUGAUGCAGCGACGCCGCGUGAGGGAUGGAGGCCUUCGGGUUGUAAACCUCUUUUGUUUGGGAGCAAGCCUUCGGGUGAGUGUACCUUUCGAAUAAGCGCCGGCUAACUACGUGCCAGCAGCCGCGGUAAUACGUAGGGCGCAAGCGUUAUCCGGAUUUAUUGGGCGUAAAGGGCUCGUAGGCGGCUCGUCGCGUCCGGUGUGAAAGUCCAUCGCUUAACGGUGGAUCUGCGCCGGGUACGGGCGGGCUGGAGUGCGGUAGGGGAGACUGGAAUUCCCGGUGUAACGGUGGAAUGUGUAGAUAUCGGAAAAAAAACA
rnacentral:rRNA from 1 species